rnacentral:lncRNA from 1 species
CACAGAGCCAGGGUGUUCAUCCCCCCAAGUUACGCCUAGAAAGCCUUUACCCAGUCGGGAUGAAGACUUCUCCACCCAGCCACCCCACUCCCUUAGUCUUCCUAGGUUACAGACUCUACCCCUCCCCUCAGCGAGGCCACUUCUAGUUAUGGAUAAAAUUGCGUACUACAGUAGGUAGGGUGGAUACUCAGAUAGUCCUGUACAACACCUAUACAAACUGUCUCAAUUCAUUAACAAACGAACUACCGAAGGACAAGAGGACAAUUUGCCAGGAGUUAGAUUUCUCCUUCCACCAAGUAGGUUCUAGGGAUAAAACCCUCAUUCAUUGGGCUGGAUAGCAAGCGCCUUUACCAAUCUCACUGAUUUUCAGUACUUCUGAGGACUCCAAAGUAUGUGGAUGUCAUGUGACCAGCUACUUCAAGUUUCUGUUGCCCAGACUUCUUUCCAUGAUCAACUGUACCUUGAACUAUAAGUGUACAUAAAUGACUCUUGAAAUUAC